rfam:Schistosoma mattheei strain Denwood, Zambia genome assembly, scaffold: SMTD_scaffold0000149
AUGUAGCUGAGGAGUCCCAAAUAGAACAAAGGGCGCGUCCUGGAU